UUCAGUUGGGAUCAUAACUAACAGCUGGACAGCUGACUGCCAGGCUCCGUAGUCUCACAACUUGAACACUGUUUUAGAAAAACGACUUCACGUUUGGAAAGCUAAAUUGGGACUUUGGGAUUUCAUAGCCGCCUGGUGUGAUUGAGGCCUCAGGUUCUAAAUAUGGAGGCGCUCAUUCUUGUGGAUAAAUACCGAAUCCACAUCCCCCAAUUGUCGCCGAGAAACCAACUGCUGCUGAAACCCACAUGAAAUGUCAACCUACUGUCUUAACAACAUGGAUAAUUAUAUAUUUCCCCUUGAGUUUAAUGACUCCCUCUCCAGUGUCCUGGCCACAUUCCAAGAGAAAUCAUCGAACGCCAUUAUUGUAACCAAAAGUCUUUGUUGAUUUGAUCUAAUCUCAUCUUCUCAGUUUCCUAUCGUUAUAUAGUGCUUUAAAGCUGCUUGAUUUCAUGUAGAACAUAGGAUUUCCCUGGUACAGUACGUAUCUUAUUACCCUUUUGUAUCCCAUGUGUAUUUUUGAAACGAAAGGGACGCUUGUUGCAGCUAGCAUAGCAACUUCGUCACCAAAAACAUCAUACAAAAUUAUUUUACUUCCAGAAAAAAGUUUUUAAAUUGUACUUUAUACUCACAAUGUUAUAAUACUUAAACAAGGAGAGAAAACUAAGUUACCUUGUUUACGUUUUGACCAAAAAAAAAAAAAUGUUAGAAGCCUAUACUAGAAGUUAUAGAUUUUGCACUCCUUUAUUCAAUGACAGUGGGUUCUAGUGAGAUUUUAAUUAUUUUACUUCAUAACAUAGAGAUGGUAUAAUUUAGGUCAUUUGGAAAACAAAAGAAACAAGAACGUGCGAUGAUCACAUCAGAUAAAAAUCAGGUGUGAGAUGAGCAUUUUACGGUUCAUCCUUAUGUUUUAUUGUUUCGGAGUCUUAUGUGCAACUUUCUUCAGUUGUGGAAUGGUAAGACUGCAAGCUUCUGUGAGUAGACUGGUGUGUGAACAGUAAGAGGGUUCUUGUCAAAUAUAAUGCUGGCUGUUUAUGUCCUACAAAGCACAGACACACGUACGCAAACACAUGUAUGCCACUCCUAGGAAAUCAAAAUGUUCUCUCUUGCAUAGAAUGUUCAUGUUAUAAAGUAGUCUUCCAAAAUUCCAUAACAUAAACAGGAUAAGUUAGAUGCAACUGAUCAUUCAUUGCUAGAUUCUUAAUUUGUUUCAGUUGGUUGCAAGGCACACAAAAUGUGAUAUUGCAAGUCAUGGAAGGAUGUUGUUUUCCCGGUGAAAUUGUGAGUGAACUUCAUCUUACUUGCAGAUACAAUGUUUGAUGAAACAUGCUUACCCAUAUGCAAACAACUUCCCAAGUUACUCCAAGGUUUGGGGGAAAUGCUCUAGUCAUUAAUUUAGAAUUACAGUGUUACAUGCAAUAUAUAUGAGUGUUAA